AAGACUAUAGACCUGCGGAGUACCUGCGGAGGGAUCAUUAACGUAUCUAUGAUGGGGUGCGGAGCGCCCUGCUCCGGUCGAACGGCCGUGCAGCGGGUGCGCUGCCCCCGUCCCACCUCACAAACCCACUGUGAACAUUCACCGGUGGAGGGGGCUCGGUCUGCGCCGUGUCCCCGAUGCCGAAUACCCAAACUCCAGUUGCAAAGAACGUCGUGCGGACUCGGUGCCGCCUAAAACAUG
rnacentral:misc_RNA from 1 species